ACUCCUACGGGAGGCAGCAGUGGGGAAUCUUGGACAAUGGGCGCAAGCCUGAUCCAGCCAUGCCGCGUGAGUGAAGAAGGCCCUAGGGUCGUAAAACUCUUUCGCCAGGGAUGAUAAUGACAGUACCUGGUAAAGAAACCCCGGCUAACUCCGUGCCAGCAGCCGCGGUAAUACGGAGGGGUUAGCGUUGUUCGGAAUUACUGGGGCGUAAAGCGUACGUAGGCGGAUUAGUCAGUCAGAGGUGAAAUCCCAGGGGCUCAACCCUGGAACUGCCUUUUGAUACUGCUAGUCUUGAGUUCGAGAGAGGUGAGUGGAAUUCCAAGUGUAGAGGUGAAAUUCGUAGAUAUUUGGAGGAACACCAGUGGCGAAGGCGGCUCACUGGCUCGAUACUGACGCUGAGGUACGAAAGUGUGGGGAGCAAACAGGAUUAGAUACCCUGGUAGGAUAGCG
rnacentral:rRNA from 1 species